rnacentral:rRNA from 1 species
UACAGGAGGGGGCUAGCGUUGUUCGGAAUUACUGGGCGUAAAGGGCGCGUAGGUGGCCUGUUAAGUCGAACGUGAAAUCCCCGGGCUCAACCCGGGAACUGCGUCCGAGACUGGCAGGCUCGAAUCCGGGAGAGGGAUGUGGAAUUCCAGGUGUAGCGGUGAAAUGCGUAGAUAUCUGGAGGAACACCGGUGGCGAAGGCGGCAUCCUGGACCGGCAUUGACGCUGAGGAGCGAAAGCCAGGGGAGCAAAGCGGG